GAGGGUCGUAUCUCAGUGCUGAGCAUCUGUCUUGCAUGCAGACGGCCCCAGGUUCAAACCCUGGCAUCCACA